rnacentral:rRNA from 1 species
GACGAACGCUGGCGGCGUGCUUAACACAUGCAAGUCGAACGAGUGGCGAACGGGUGAGUAAUGUCUGGGAAACUGCCUGAUGGAGGGGGAUCACUACUGGAAACGGUAGCUAAUACCGCAUACCAUCAGAUGUGCCCAGAUGGGAUUAGCUAGUAGGUGGGGUAAAGGCUCACCUAGGCGACGAUCCUUAGCUGGUCUGCGAGGAUAACCAGCGACACUGGAACGCAGAUACGAGCCAGACUCCUACGGGAGGCAGCGGUGGGGAAUAUUGCACAAUGGGCGCAAGCCUGAGGCAGCCAGGCCGCGUGUGUGAAGAAGGCCUUCGGGUUGUAAAGCACUUUCAGCGGGGAGGCGUUACCCGCAGAAGAAGCACCGGCUAACUCUGUGCCAGCAGCCGCGGUAAUUC